UCUCGCUAGCACUAGUCCUUAAUAAAAACAAAUAAUAAUCUCUUAAAUAUGUAUAAUAUUCGAUAUUGUGCACUUUAAAGACCAAAAGACGGACAUAAAAUGGUUUACACUUAACAAAAUCUAGCAGAUCUAGAAGUUGGCAAAUGCUGUAACAUACACAACACGAGCCGAACUAAAUACUGUACAAAAGCUGUAAACUUUGUAUACAAAACACGUUUAAAAUACAAUAAA